GACAGCUCAGUUGGUUAGGGCAUGGUGCUAAUAAAGCCAAGGUUGAGGGCUCAAUACCCAUAUGGGUCA